AUGCCUGCCAUAGAUGUGGGUGAAAUGUCAGGAGAGAGUACUUCUGGAACAUGGCCACACAGCCCAAAAGACAUACAACAACCCUGUGAUCCCGGCCAUGAAAGCCUUCGACAACACAAUAAUAAUAAUAAUAAUAAUAAUAAUAAUAAUAAUAAUAAUAACCUGAUCCUUACAGCCCAGGAGCAAGCCAUCAGAACAAAUGCAAUUAAAGCCAAGAUCGAAAAAUCAGCUGUUGACCCAAAAUGCAGACUGUGCAAGGAAACCGACGAAACCAUCGAUCAUCUCCUCAGCUGCUGUAAGAAAAUUGCACAGACAGACUACAAACAGAGGCACAACUAUGUGGCCCAAAUGAUUCAUUGGAACUUAUGCCUCAAGUACCACCUCCCAGCAGCAAAGAACUGGUGGGAUCACAAACCUGCAAAAGUCUUGGAAAAUGAACAUGCAAAGAUACUGUGGGACUUCCGAAUCCAGACUGACAAAGUUCUGGAACACAACACACCAGACAUCACAGUUGUGGAAAAGAACAAGGUUUGGAUCAUUGAUGUUGCCAUCCCAGGUGACAGUCGCAUUGACGAAAAACAACAGGAAAAACUCAGCCGCUCCAAAAGAUCUCAGCCAGCAUUUGGAAACAAUAGACAUUGACAAAAUUACGAUCUUCCAACUGCAAAAGGCCACUCUACUGGGAUCUGCACGCAUCAUCCAAAAAUACAUCACACAGUCCUAGACACUUGGGAAGUGUUCGACUUGUGAUUUUGUGAUACGAACUCCAGCAUAUCUAUCUUGUUUGCUGUGUCAUACAAUAAAAUAAUAAUAAUUAUUAUUUAUAUCCCGCCCCACCUCCAAUACGGGACUCGGGGCAGCUAACAACAUAAAAGGCAAAUAUUCAUUGCCAAGAAGUACAUACAUACAGAUAUAACUUAAUAAAUAGCAUUUAAAACCCAACCACAUGCAAUAAUAAAAAUCAUAAUAAACAAUACAACACAAUACAAGACUAAACAGUGCCAAUAGUGUUAAAUUCCAUAUUCCUAUUCUGUUCCACAUUCCUUAAAAACUUCAACACCUACUUUAUGAUUUUAGGAGAUUUUAGUACUUUUGACCAUGUUCUGCAUUUUCCAGAAAUAGUAUAAGAUGUAAA
rnacentral:lncRNA from 1 species